rnacentral:rRNA from 1 species
AGAGUUUGAUCCUGGCUCAGGAUGAACGCUGGCGGCGUGCUUAACACAUGCAAGUCGAACGAAGCACUAACGACAGAAGCUUUCGGGUGGAAGAUGUAAGUGACUGAGUGGCGGACGGGUGAGUAACGCGUGGGUAACCUGCCUCACACAGGGGGAUAACAGUUAGAAAUGACUGCUAAUACCGCAUAAGCGCACAGUGCUGCAUGGCACAGUGUGAAAAACUCCGGUGGUGUGAGAUGGACCCGCGUCUGAUUAGCUGGUUGGUGAGGUAACGGCCCACCAAGGCGACGAUCAGUAGCCGGCCUGAGAGGGUGAACGGCCACAUUGGAACUGAGACACGGUCCAAACUCCUACGGGAGGCAGCAGUGGGGAAUAUUGCACAAUGGGGGAAACCCUGAUGCAGCGACGCCGCGUGAGUGAAGAAGUUAUUCGUAAUGUAAAGCUCUAUCAGCAGGGAAGAUAAUGACGGUACCUGACUAAGAAGCCCCGGCUAACUACGUGCCAGCAGCCGCGGUAAUACGUAGGGGGCAAGCGUUAUCCGGAUUUACUGGGUGUAAAGGGUGCGUAGGUGGUAUGGCAAGUCAGAAGUGAAAACCCGGGGCUCAACCCCGCGGAUUGCUUUUGAAACUGUCAGACUGGAGUACCGGAGAGGUAAGCGGAAUUCCUAGUGUAGCGGUGAAAUGCGUAGAUAUUAGGAGGAACACCAGUGGCGAAGGCGGCUUACUGGACGGUAACUGACGUUGAGGCUCGAAAGCGUGGGGAGCAAACAGGAUUAGAUACCCUGGUAGUCCACGCCGUAAACGA